rnacentral:rRNA from 1 species
UACGAAGGGGGCGAGCGUUGUUCGGAUUUACUGGGCGUAAAGGGCGCGCAGGCGGCGGAUCAAGUCAGACGUGAAAGCCCCGGGCUUAACCUGGGAACUGCGUUUGGGACUGAUUUGCUAGAGAUCGGGAGAGGAGAGUGGAAUUCCCAGUGUAGAGGUGAAAUUCGUAGAUAUUGGGAAGAACACCGGUGGCGAAGGCAGCUCUCUGGACCGAUACUGACGCUGAGGCGCGAAAGCGUGGGGAGCAAACAGG